rnacentral:rRNA from 1 species
AAGAAACGCUAGCAACGGAUAUAACACAUGCAAGUCAAUGUUUCCACAUGGCGUACGAGUGAGUAAUAAAUCGGAAUCUACUUGAAAAUUAGGGCUAUAUCAUAAUCCCUAAUAACCAAAGAGUGUCUCGUUUUCAAAAGAGCCGAUUGAGGAUAAGGUAGUUGGUAAGAUAAUAGCUUACCAAGCCUAUGAACCUUAGCUGGUCUUAACGGACGAUCAGCCACGACGGUACUGAAACAAGGACCGUUCUCAGGUAUCUCCCGAGGCAGCAGUGGAGAAUAUUGGACAAUGGGCGAAAGCCUGAUCCAGUCACGUUGCGUGGGUCACCCUUUCAUCAAGGAAGAUAAUGACCUUACUUGAAGAAGAAGUCCUGGCUAACCUCGUGCCAGCAGCCGCAGUAACAC